GAUCUAUUGGAUAUAUGUAGAAGCGCGUAAGCAAUCCCAUGGUAAGAAGGAAGAUUAUGAAUGACAACGAUGUUAUUAAUCCGAGCCAUAACCAACUGAAUUUUCCUAAAUUUGUGGAUAUAGGUGCAUCGGAGGUGUUUGCCUUGAACCAUAUUGUCCGCAAGGGGGUUGACUUUUCUAUUUGUGGUUCUAAUUCACGGGUAACAUAUGCCUCUACUUGUAGCUCAAGAUUUGAAACUCCAGGAAGUAAACUAUUAGAGUCGUGCAUGUCCAAAAUCAUUUUAAUCAAAAAUAAAAAGUUAUAUUUCCUCAAUUUCAAUAGAUUUUUUUCCUCCUAUUUUUCCACUUUUCUUCAAUAAUAAUUUGAAUAUUUACCAUUUUAAUAAUUACGCACAAUUUUAAGAUAUGAUAUUAGAAUUCAUAUACCAAAUAAUGCCCUAGAUCAGUAUUUUCUAUUAUAUUUAUUGUACAUUUUUUAAAUAUUGUUGGACUUGAGCAUCAUAACAAUAAAUGUUCAGUAAAACUAAAAUAACCAUAAAGGCAUAUAAAUUUAUAAUAUUUUUUUAUAAAUUUUGGACUUGUAAAUUGAUUUGAAAUUAAAUUAACUAAUCAAUCAUGAUAUAAUCACGAUUUAGUAAUGAUAGACGAGAAACUGUUGAGCACCGUAGCUGUCUCCCUUUUCAUGAGCUAAACUGUUAAAUUAAAUUGAUACAGCUUGGAGUAACAAGGUUUUAGAAAUAAUUUAAGCCCAAAAAUUAUGAAUACUCAAUGAAAACCACCAGUAUAUAUUACUAUUAAAUAAUUAAUUGCCUGAAAUUUUUUUAUAUUAAAAGGCAAUUGCACAGUAACUACAAAGGAGUGGAUAGCAGCACUGCAUCCCUGAGAAUAUUUGAUCACCAGCUAAAACUUAUGGAUUCGAAAUGUAAAUUGUCUGCAGAGCCUGAUGAACAUAUGUUUGCGACAUCAUGGCGCAUACUCUUCGGACCACAAACUAGAACACCAACACUUGAUCCUUCUUGUUCCACUAGAAUUCCUACAACAUUACAUAAUCAACUCUAUUAUCAACUUCCUAUUGCCCUGCUCUCGAGUUAUAAUUAGGGAGGAAAGCAAGUGAAAAUGAAGUAAAGUUAUGUAACUUUCUCUCUGUUUGUGUUGCCGAGUUUUUUAAAAGGAGGAAAGCAAGUGAAAGUGGAUGCAAGUAUAACAUACUUUCACUCCCAAAAGUGGGAUGAAAGUGAAAGCACAUUUGCUUUCACUUGCUUUCUCCCUAAAAAAACUCGGGAGCAGGGCCUAUGUUAGCCAAGACCAACAUUUUAUCAAUGUAGAGUUCAGUGCAUAUGAUUUCCAGAUAAAAGAUAUUAUAUUCAUACGAUGGAUGCUCUUAGCAAAGCAGAAUUUUAAUUCUUGCAAGUAUAAGUGGAUAACAAGGGCAGCAAAUUAACUUACCCCUCAGAUCAGGCCUUCGGCCAUAAUGCAGCUUGGUAGUUUUUGAAAGACACUGCUGAGGAAGACUUUCGAGUUCUUGCUCAAUAGGAUUGACGGCCACUGAAUUAUGCAAUUUAGGUGACAAUCCUUUAAGUUCCUCGAUCUGUUGUUUCUUGUUCCACAGAAAAGCUCCAGUGGCUGUCACAAGUAGGGAUAUGCAUAGGAGUAGCAUAUUUAGCAGAGCCUGUAAUGAGUAUGAGAAGACCAUAAAACUAUUAUGAUCUAUUGGAUAUAUGUAGAAGCGCGUAAGCAAUCCCAUGGUAAGAAGGAAGAUUAUGAAUGACAACGAUGUUAUUAAUCCGAGCCAUAACCAACUGAAUUUUCCUAAAUUUGUGGAUAUAGGUGCAUCGGAGGUGUUUGCCUUGAACCAUAUUGUCCGCAAGGGGGUUGACUUUUCUAUUUGUGGUUCUAAUUCACGGGUAACAUAUGCCUCUACUUGUAGCUCAAGAUUUGAAACUCCAUAUG
rnacentral:lncRNA from 1 species